AGUGGCGGACGGGUGAGUAAUGCGUGAGCAACCUGCCCUUCAGAGGGGGACAACAGUUGGAAACGACUGCUAAUACCGCAUAAUGUAUCGAGAAGGCAUCUUUUUGAUACCAAAGAUUUAUCGCUGAAGGAUGGGCUCGCGUCUGAUUAGCUAGUUGGUGAGGUAAUGGCUCACCAAGGCUUCGAUCAGUAGCCGGACUGAGAGGUUGGCCGGCCACAUUGGGACUGAGAUACGGCCCAGACUCCUACGGGAGGCAGCAGUGGGGAAUAUUGGGCAAUGGGCGCAAGCCUGACCCAGCAACGCCGCGUGAAGGAAGAAGGCUUUCGGGUUGUAAACUUCUUUUGGCAGGGACGAAACAAAUGACGGUACCUGCAGAAUAAGCUCCGGCUAACUACGUGCCAGCAGCCGCGGUAAUACGUAGGGAGCAAGCGUUAUCCGGAUUUACUGGGUGUAAAGGGCGCGUAGGCGGGAAUGCAAGUCAGAUGUGAAAUCUGAGGGCUCAACCCUCAAACUGCAUUUGAAACUGUAUUUCUUGAGUGAUGGAGAGGCAAGUGGAAUUCCUAGUGUAGCGGUGAAAUGCGUAGAUAUUAGGAGGAACACCAGUGGCGAAGGCGACUUGCUGGACAUUAACUGACGCUGAGGCGCGAAAGCGUGAGGAGCAAACAGGAUUAGAUACCCUGGUAGUCCACGCU
rnacentral:rRNA from 1 species